rnacentral:rRNA from 1 species
AUUGAACGCUGGCGGCAUGCCUUACACAUGCAAGUCGAACGGCAGCAUGGAGAGCUUGCUCCCUGAUGGCGAGUGGCGAACGGGUGAGUAAUGCAUCGGAACGUACCGUGUAAUGGGGGAUAACGUAGCGAAAGUUACGUUAAUACUGCAUCCGACUAGAGGGUGAAAGAAGGGGAUGGCAAGAACUGUCGUUAUACAAGCGGCCGAUGUCGGAUUAGCUAGUUGGUGAGGUAAUGGCCCACCAAGGCGACGAUCUGUAGCGGGUCUGAGAGGAUGAUCCGCCACACUGGGACUGAGACACGGCCCAGACUCCUACGGGAGGCAGCAGUGGGGAAUUUUGGACAAUGGGGGCAACCCUGAUCCAGCCAUGCCGCGUGAGUGAAGAAGGCCUUCGGGUUGUAAAGCUCUUUCGGCCGGGAAGAAAUCGCACAGGCUAAUACUCUGUGUGGAUGACGGUACCGGCAUAAGAAGCACCGGCUAACUACGUGCCAGCCGCCGCCGUAA